UUACGGCCAUAUCACGUUGAAACACCGCUUCUCGUACGAUCAGCGAAGUUAAACAACAUCGAGCCUGGUUAGUAACUAGAUGAGUGACCGCUUGAGAAGACGAGGUGUUGUAAG